rnacentral:rRNA from 1 species
GCACAAGCGGUGGAGCAUGUGGUUUAUUCGAUGAUACGACGUAAAACCUUACCUGGGCUUGAACUGUGCAUGACAGGUGUAGAGAUACACCCUCCGCAAGGCAUGUACAGAGGUGCUGCAUGGUUGUCGUCAGCUCGUGUCGUGAGAUGUUGGGUUAAGUCCCGCAACGAGCGCAACCCCUACCCUUUGUUGCUACCAGAUAAUGCUGGGCACUCUAAGGGAACUGCCGGUGAUAAACCGGAGGAAGGUGGGGAUGACGUCAAAUCAUCACGGCCCUUAUGUCCAGGGCUACACACGUGCUACAAUGGCCGGUACAAAGCGUUGCAAACCUGCGAAGGGGAGCCAAUCGCAAAAAACCGGUCUCAGUUCAGAUUGCAGUCUGCAACUCGACUGCAUGAAGCUGGAAUCGCUAGUAAUCGUGGAUCAGAACGCCACGGUGAAUACGUUCCCGGGCCUU